rnacentral:rRNA from 1 species
AAGGUAACCGUAAAUAAGGGGGUCCCCAUAAAGGGAACGUACCUUUUGGUUCGGAACAACACAGGGAAACUUGUGCUAAUACCGGAUAAGCCCUUACGGGGAAAGAUUUAUCGCCGAAAGAUCGGCCCGCGUCUGAUUAGCUAGUUGGUGAGGUAAUGGCUCACCAAGGCGACGAUCAGUAGCUGGUCUGAGAGGAUGAUCAGCCACAUUGGGACUGAGACACGGCCCAAACUCCUACGGGAGGCAGCAGUGGGGAAUAUUGGACAAUGGGCGCAAGCCUGAUCCAGCCAUGCCGCGUGAGUGAUGAAGGCCCUAGGGUUGUAAAGCUCUUUUGUGCGGGAAGAUAAUGACGGUACCGCAAGAAUAAGCCCCGGCUAACUUCGUGCCAGCAGCCGCGGUAAUACGAAGGGGGCUAGCGUUGCUCGGAAUCACUGGGCGUAAAGGGUGCGUAGGCGGGUCUUUAAGUCAGGGGUGAAAUCCUGGAGCUCAACUCCAGAACUGCCUUUGAUACUGAAGAUCUUGAGUUCGGGAGAGGUGAGUGGAACUGCGAGUGUAGAGGUGAAAUUCGUAGAUAUUCGCAAGAACACCAGUGGCGAAGGCGGCUCACUG